GCGGCGGGGUGCUGACCUCUGCGGACGGAAGGAAGAAGGAAGGAAGGAAGGAGGGCUCCGGCAGCGCGGAGCUGCGGCGGCGCGCCCCGGGAGCGCAGCUCGGGCACGGGAGGAUGCGGGGCUCGGCCGCGGGAGCCAGAAGGAACCACCACUGCGGGAGGGGGGGAGACGAUCGCUGCCUUCAUUUAUUUAUUUAUUUUUAAUUUUUCUGAAGAGACUCCCAACUUUUUUGGGGGGGAGGGAGCUGAUUUUCUUUUGGGGCUUUUUUUUUUCCCCCCUUCCCCCCCUCCUUUUUGCCUGUGAUUACUCUCAUCAUAGCCCACCUUCUCAUGGCUUGCCAGCACCCAUCCUUGGACUCUUAGCUCCCAGCCCAGCAGCCGUGAGGUACCACCUCUCCACCACCACCACCACCCCACCGCAGGCAGCAGGUGCCACCGGCCCCGCACCUCUCCGCACCCUGCAGGCCCGGCCCGGCGAGCUGGCGGGUGAGAUGGCAGCUGCUGGGCCCUGGCCGCACCUCUGCCAGCCUGCAUGACCCUGAGCUCAGGAUCCUACAUGAAGAAACACAAGAGGAAGUAUUCCUGAAGACCUCAGAGAAAGCUGGCACUUUCGCAGUGGAAUACAACUCCGAAUCCCAAGAACACAUCCUGCAAAAUUACCAGUGAUUCAAGUCUCCGUUCAACCCUGGUUGCUCAGAACAGCAAGCAGCUGCAGAAGCCUGAAUAAGCACUUCUCUUGUCAGUGCCGUCAGAGCAGUGAGCUAUAACUGGCUUUAAGCCACUGCACAGGUCGAUGUGCAAAAUGCCUAAUUCUGUGAAGAAAAACAAACCUACCAACUUCCAUAGUAGGAAAAAAAAGAUUCUCUCUGUCUACCUGCUUCAGAGGUACUCAAGCACAGCUGCAACCAGAAAGUAGAUACCUAACUGCUUUAUACAGCAAACCUUUUCAGAUACUGGUCAAAACACACAGGGAAACCUACACAAGGUUCAAAUCACUAAUACUGGAAAUAUUUUUUAUUCUUGAAGUAAAAACUUUCAUAAGGAAGAAAGGAUUCAGGGAAAAAAAACUGUAUGAUGCCUCACGUUCUACCAGCUGUCAAACCAAACUAGUCUAAAUUCCAAUUUUGAUCUCUCUGUCAAAGAAAAAUCUUGUUCAUAUUCACCCACAGAAAAAUCUUCAGUACCCCUAGGAAGAACUCUUUUUCCAUACAUUUUCCUUGCAUUUCAUAUUGAGAUAGUUUUUCAUGCAAACCAACUGUGACAAGAGCCUAAGGAAAGUAACACAGAAGUUAAAAAGAAUCCAACCCAGGUAACUGGAGACCGCACACAGUAUUCCUGGUUAACGCUGUUAAUGUAAACAUGGAGAGUUCAUGUUAAAUAAGUUACCCAUUUGUGAAACAACUGUCUUUGAAUGCCAAAAAUACACUCCCUUCACAACAUCCUCAAAACGUUCUCUUACAGACCUAUUUCAGGCACUGUAGAAAGCUGUAAAUACAGUUAUUGUUCCUAUCAACACUCACAACCACAACUUUCAACUAUGUGAUUCCAUUCAUUUUACAUACGUAAACACUCAUAUUUACUUUCUGACCAUCAGCCUCGAUAGCUGUAUGCUAAGACACUCACCCACGUUAUUCCCACACACAAUAUACAUAACAUCCUUAUAAAUAACAUCCUUAUUCAUCUAGCUUCAUUCAACUGAAAAGCAGAAAAAUUAAGCAGUAAACAAGCAUAUACAUUUCUUUCUUCAUGCAAAGAAAAUUCUCCGCCAUGCAAUAUCACCCAAGUCCUGUUAUUAUAACAGCCUUCAAGAAAAUCACAUUAUCCAUAACAUAAUAAGCAACCAGCAAGUUCUCCCACAAAGUUCUACAAUCAUUUUUUCUGCAAACUAUCUUAACUGAGGAUUCAACACAGAUGCACAGUAUGCCAACUGGCACAAAACAAAUUAUGCCUUAAAUUUAACUUCUUCAGAAUAACCUGUUACAUAAAGAAGAAAUUCCUUCUACACAUGCUUUUGAGGAAACAAAAUCAUGUUUCUUUUACCAAAGGGGAUUGAACCCAACAAUCCUAUCACUUUAUAACCACACAGUAUCUUUAGAAAUUACUCAAGUGUUUCUAAAAAUCUCAAAUCCCUUCCCCAGUUCCAACAUUCAAGAAGAACAGAAGCAUUUUUACAAGAUCCUACUUAACUUCUCACUUGUAAAAGCCUGUUUGCAAACUUUUACAGACUUCUACAGAGAUCCAGAGUUGCCUCAACACAGCACUGAAUGCAGCAGAUUAGUGAUUUCAUUCUAAUUGUGGCCUACUCUACUAUUAGAAACAACUCCUAUCUAAGCAUUAUCAAAAUUUAAGAAACAACUAUAUACAGGCUCAAGGACCUUUUAAAAGAAUACCACAAUUCCACAUUUCUAUGCACUUGUCUUUCACAAAUGAGAAAAUAUUUUUUAAAAACAAAUCUUUACCUUGGGUUUCCUCUUAGUGCAGCAUGGUGAAGAGCAUUAAAGCCAUUGUUGUUGGUGAUAGUAACAUCUGCACCAGCUUCUAACAGUACAGCCAGGAUGUCAUCACGCUUUUUACUUAUUGCAUCAUGGAGUGGAGUGUCACCUUCAGAAUCCUGAAACCAGAAACAGCUUGCAUCAGUUUCUGUAUGCAUCCACAUUAAGAAGUAACAUGUAAAUAUCACUAGGAAAAACUGACUACACAAAACAGGUCUUCGUUUCUAGAAGUGUGGCUAUACUGUAGAGUUCAGAGCAUGGUGCUUCUGCUCUUGUUCUGGUUUUGGAAACACUCGAGUAGGUAAUCCCUCCCUGGGCUCCCAGUUUUCUAUGAUUACCCAGCUACCAAAACUCCAAACCAGAGUUUAAGCAUGCGUUGCAUGUGACAACACUGGAGAUACUGGUGUAGAUAUCAGCUUCUGUAUCUCACACGUGGAUUAAUGAGAUGCCCAAAUUAACAUUUCUGAGUAACAGAAGGUCAGCAACAAGAACACCACAACAGAGAUUAGCCAGGCAGGAGAAGGAAGGGAAUUCUGAGUGAUGAUGGCAAAUUAGUAAUCUACGUGGUUAGUAAUUAACCACGUAAAAGAUAAUGCCAAAAAGAUGAUAGGAAAUAAAAGCUUAAAGAGAAGGAAAAAAUAAAAUGCAGGCCAAGUAAUUUAGGCACAUCUGUCAUUUUAACUGAAGCACAUCAUUUUCCAUGAAGCAAAGGCCAACGUCACAAGCAAUAUUAAGCUUUUAAACUCCUUAUAGCUCAUACUGGAUUACAUUACACAAGGAAAAUGAAAAUAUUUCUCUGAUUUCAUUGCAUAAUUAAAUUGAAGACAAUUCAUUUAUAUUUUUAGCUUGCCAUUUUAUUCUUCAAAUAUCCCAAAUAAGGGGAAAUACUACUUAUUCCUAAAAGUAGUUUGUACAUUACUUAUUCGAGGACCCAAACGGUUGGGCUAAAAAGGAAUGUCCUAUGAUUAACAGUGAGAAAACACAUCCAUUUAUGCUUAUUUGCUGCUAUCUAAGCAAACUCUCCAGAUUUAUGCUUCCAGUAAAAUUUUAACACCAUAUAAGUCAGGAGGACUUCUGUCACUGACUCAACUACUAACUGAUAAACACAGGAUCUGAACAUUUUAGCAAUACAGUCCAAUAUGAAAACAAAUCUUUUGAAUCUUUACCAUGAGAAUCACAAAUUGACAAACAAAGUGUCAAAUAAAGGAAAAACUUGAACCAGUUUGCUAGAAUUUAACUAUGCAGUUUUUAUCUAGUCUAACUGAUGGCAUUUGCUGAAUUUACUGCUUACAAAUUAACAUGCCUCUGUUUACACCAAGAAUGGGCUUCAGCGGAAGAGUGAUGGGCACUUAAAUUCCAGUCGUGACUCAAUCUGACUACUCUGUGCUCUUAUCCACCAAGUCAGUUGCCUACUCACAUUUGCCCAUUAGCAUUCAGCCCUGCAGGAUCUGAAAGUUCGUUAUGUUCAAUGACAGUUUUAUUUUCCAGGUAGAGAUCCACAGCACCAUUCUACUGAAUUUUUCAAACCAAACGAAUUUCUGUUAUUUCAAGUCAGAGAUAUUCACUCUGCCUACCCACAGAUCGUUGUAUGAUGCACAUUAUCACCCCUGACUAAACUCAAGACAAAAGAUUCUUUACUUAUCCCAAGUUCAGCAAAUACUAAGGAGGGUAUGGAUGAACACUAGCUGGCUGACAGCUCAGCCUCAGCAAGCUCAAGAGUAUACACACAAAGCCAGGUAAAAGCAGACAGACAAUCAAUAUAUUAAUUAAUUUUAAGUUUGCUUUACUUUUGUUACACGAAUAUACAGUUUUGAAAAUUUUACUGCUUUUUGACAUGAUGGCAAAGCAAGAUGGUAGAUGUGUUAUUAACAUGUCUUGAUUUUAUCAGGACAUUACAGCUUUUUCUUUCUACUGAAAACCUCUUCUGACUUGUUUUACUAAUGCACUGCAUGAGAUUGCAUUAAGCUCAUGAAGAAUAUGGAUGCUUGCUUGUUUGACAGCAGGUUUCUCCUCUACCUUCUCAACAGGAGGUUCCACUCAUAUGUCACAGCUUCCACCGCAUUCAUUACAGAUAAAAUUGCCUGUGUAAUUAUGGAACUUGAGGCCCCAUAUAUCAUGACCUUUUAGAUAAAAGUCUGAGCUUUAAAAGAGAAUUUGGCUAAACAGUUGUAUUGACGAUAGGUCAAUUCUAGGGGAAAAAAGGUUUCUUUCAAUGAAACAUUCCACAGUAUCAACAUCCAAAGAAAAAUUCAAAGCUGCAAACAGCUGCAGAUUAGAUAGAGAAAGAAUCUGGAGAAAAAAUUAACAAUCACAGAUAACUACAGUCUGUGAAAAUAUCAACUAACAUGAACCGGCCUGAAUAAAUCAGGUGCCUUUAUCAAGCUUUUUAGAAAACCAAUCAAUAACAGCAUUUUUAUUACAGCUGGUCACAUCAGGGUAGAAGAUGGAAGAGAGAACUUCACAAGGUCUGGUCCUUUCCAUCCUAUUUUCCGUGAUUAUUCAAUUAUCUAUACACAGCAUCCACACGCUUGAAAUGCUAGAAGUAGAAUAGAUUCACGUUUUAGGUAUUUAACGUCUGCAUUACCUGGAGACUAGGAUGGCAGCCAAAGUCCAGUAAAGUCUUCACAACUUGAAGAUGACCUUUGUUGACAGCAAUAUGAAGUGGAGUCUGCCUCCGUUUGUUGCGAGCGUUCAGAUCUGCGCUGCCUCGGUGCAAAACCUCAAUCACAGCACCCUCGUCACCAAAGGCCGCGUGAUGGACAGCCCUGUCUCCAUCUUUAUCCUAAGGUAGAAACAAUAGUUUAACUCUAUAUAUUUCACACUUCAAGAAGAAAUUAAACAGAACCAUGAAAAUUUCUUUGAAGAAGAAAGGGAUAUUUGAAUGGAACUGAGAUUAUUUAAACUAAUAAAAGAAUUGAUCAAACCAUAAAGGAAUAAUAGAGAAUGAAGAAUCUGUGUACAGAAAUAUGCAUUCUACAAUAUAUGAUAUUCAAUGCUAUAUCACCAUCAACAAAAACAAACAAAAACACAAUACAUCACCCACCUGUAACUAAGGACAACCUAUUCUGUACUCCAGGAACUGCCAAAUUCCAAAUCAUGGAAGAAGACCAGAGAAUUGUUCAUAUGAUUAAGUUACAUAUAUAUUAGGGCUUAUCAUAUCUUAACUUUGAGUUUAUAAAUUGUUUUCCAAAGGAAAUCUGGGAUUGAAGCUAAAGUUAAAUGCAAGUUCUGAUUCUACGAUGAAGCUUCACAGCAUUAAAAUUCUGAUUCAAUUCA